UAAAAUGAGAAGAGCUAGGCUGCUAUACUAUCGGUAGCACGGACGCCUUCGUGCUACCAAGUUAUUUUCAAUUAUACCGCUUCCAAAUCGACGAUCGGCUCCGUUAAACUUGAUCUACACUAUUGAAAGUAUUUGAAAACUAAAUUUCAUAAUUUUUCGGUAUCAUUUACCUAUCAAACGAGUAAUCUGAAAAUAAAAAUUUCAUAAAAAAUAAUGAUAGAAGACUUGAAUUUAAGAUUAGAGAUACUGAUCCUACUCUAAAUAGUAAAAAGAAUUUUCUAUAAAAAUUUCAUCUGAUUUGAAUUGUUUUACACCAUUAAAUUUACAAAUGCAUCACAUCUAUCAUUAAAAUUGUCAAUUUUGAGACAUUUUGAUCACUAGCCAAAUGAUGUCGAAAAAUUCUGAAAUUUAGUUUCUAAAUACUUUCAAUAGUGUAGAUCAAGUCUAAUGGAGCCGAUUGUCGAUUUGAAAACUGCUUCAUCGAAAAUAACUUGAUAACAUGGAAGUCUCCGUACUACCGAUAGUAUAGCAGCCCGACUCCAAUGAGAAAAUGCCACCAACCAG
rnacentral:lncRNA from 1 species